rnacentral:rRNA from 1 species
UUGACCUCAAAUCAGGUAGGACUACCCGCUGAACUUAAGCAUAUCAAUAAGCGGAGGAAAAGAAACUAACAAGGAUUCCCCUAGUAACUGCGAGUGAAGUGGGAAAAGCUCAAAUUUAAAAUCUGACAGUCUUUGACUGUCUGAGUUGUAACCUAGAGAAGUGCUACCUGUGCUGGACCAUGUAUAAGUCUCCUGGAAUGGAGUGUCAGAGAGGGUGAGAAUCCCGUCCUUGACAUGGACUGCCAGUGCAUUGUGGUGUGCUCUCAAAGAGUCGAGUUGUUUGGGAAAUGCA